CAGAGGGUGAGAAUCCCGUCUUUGACAUGGACUGCCAGUGCAUUGUGGUUGUGCUCUCAACGAGUCGAGUUGUUUGGGAAUGCAGCUCUAAAUGGGUGGUAAAUUCCAUCUAAAGCUAAAUAUUGGCGAGAGACCGAUAGCGAACAAGUACCGUGAGGGAAAGAUGAAAAGAACUUUGGAAAGAGAGUUAAACAGUAUGUGAAAUUGUUGAAAGGGAAA
rnacentral:rRNA from 1 species